UGCCUGGCAUGCUCUGGUCCAUGGGGACACGACUAAACGACUAAACAACAACAACAGUGAGAUGGUCAGGUUUGCUGAUGACAGUCAAAGAUUCAGGGUGAUAAAAAUGAAAACGUUAUUCUGAGAAGCUCCAAAAGAAUCUCUCCAAAUGCUGUGACAAUGCUUUAAAACAGCAACUACAGUUCAGUGUAAGUAAAUGCAAAACAGUACACAUGAAGAAUUUUAACAUUACAUCUGCACUGAUGGGGCUGGAACUGGGCAGGAAAGAGACCUUGGGAUAGUGGCGGAUCGCUCAAAGAAAACAUUGAACUAAUGUGCAGCAGCUAUGAAAAUGGCAAAUUUGGUGCUCCCAUUGCUCUGUCCCAGCUCCUGCUGACCAAGCACGUCAAAAGCACGUCAAAGUGCAAGUAGAUAAAUCGGUACCACUGUGGUGGGAAGGUAAACAACGUUUCUGUGUGCUGCUCUGGUUUCGCCAGAAGCAGCUUAGUCAUGCUGGCCACAUGACCCGGAAAAACUGUCUGCAGACAUAUGUCGGCUCCCUUGGCCAAGCAAGAUGAGCGCCGCAACCCCAGAGUUGUUCACAACUGGACUUAAUUGUCAGGGUCCUUUACCUUUACCUUUUUAUAAAAAAAUAAUAAUUAAUGUUUAAAUCUCAUUGAAGUCAUGGGACUUCAUUAAAUGGUCAGAUAUUAACCUCUUUAUUUCAGCAGGACCUAUGUGCAUCUUACCUUCUCUGGAUGGAACCUGAAGCAUGGUAGAAAGAAGAUGGUUUUGAUGCCUUCUGAUCUUUGGGAUCUGAUGGCCUCCAGCCAACAUUUCAGGGGUAGGAUCAUGCUUUGAAUCCUAUACUUUCAACGGGAGAGGUUUAUUAUUUAUUAUUUUAUUUAUAUACCACCUAAUUAGAAUUGCCUCUACACAGUGUGCAAAUAACUCAGUACAAAAUAUAAAGAUCAGAACUGUAAAAUCAGAAUUCAGGUAAGAUGUUUGCCGGAAUUUAUUUAUUUAUUUAUUUUUACAAAACCCCUCAAGGCACAGGAGAGGGCCUGUUUGACCUCAAUGGAGGUCUUAGCCAUAGGAGACCACUAACUCAUACCCUCCAACAUUUAUCUGAUGAAAAUAGGGACAGCCCAUUCCAUAAUGAUAAUUUUACUAUUUAUACCCCACACAUCUUAUUGGGUUGCCCCAGCCACCCAGGGCAGCUUCCAACACAUAUAAAAACAUAAUAAAACAUUUUAAAUUUUUUUAAAAAAAUUCCUUAUACAGAAUUGCCUUCAGAUGGCUCAGGGGUCGGAUAACUCCAUACCCUCCAACAUUUCUCCAAUAAAAAUCAGGGCAUCCUAAGGAAAAGUGGGACAUUCCGGGAUCAAAUCAGAAACUGGGACAGCUUCUCUAAAUCAGGGAUGUCCCUGGAAAAUAGGGACACUUGGAGGGUGUGUUAACUGUGACUUCCUGAAAGGCCUCAGGAAUCAGAUAUAAUGAAUCAGGUGGUCCUUGAGGUAUCCUGGAUCCAAGAUGUUAAGGGUCUUGUAAAAUAAUGCAAGAGAUGUAAACAUGUUAUUUAAUCAUCCACUAACAUAAUGAAAAUGAUAAUCUAUUAGCUUUGAGUGAUGAUGGUGGUGGUGGUGGUCUUUAUGAUGACUUCAAAUCUAUGUGCAAUACAAUAAGGUUAAAAAUAAACAUAAGCUCAGCCCAGGGCAUACAGCAUAAAGUGAAACAAAGCUUUUUUAAGUGUCUUCAAAGAUUCUGGAAUAUUGAAAGCAGUUAUUUUCUGACUUCCUUUUUCUGAUUCACAUCAGUUUCCCUGACUACCUGAUCCCUUUCAUACAGUUGGUUAUCAGGUUAUCAAGUUGGCUAGUUCCAAACACACACAUUAUAACUUUUGGUACUCUAAAGACUAACAGAUUUAUUAUGACACGAGAUUUCAUUGACUAAAGCCCAUGACAUCUGAUGUAGAGUUUGGGCUUAUUUUCAAAGCCCCACAUUUUCCCUCUCGCCUGUAAAUAUUGAUAUCUACACUUCACACUGUUAGUCCCACUGCAUUUAAUAGACAAAGACAGAUAAACUUUAAGAAUCAGCUACUGCGACAGUGAUGAUACCAACAUAGGCACACUGGAUAAUCCUUUUCAUCUCACAUGUUGUCCAAAAAAAAAAGGUGGGUGCAUUAUUAGGCUGAUCUGUUAUCGGGCCUUGAUAAGGACCAGCCUUCUAUCAACUGUGAAAACACAGUGAUAAAACCUUACUACAAGCCUAUGAUUCACCAUUAUUAUGUCGGAAAUUACAAAAAAAGGAAAAUGGCAUAGGAAGUUAGAAAUCCAUCCUCUGGCUGCGUUUGACAUUUCCAAUUUAAAGAAAAUGUCUUUUGUCUGAAAGGGAAAGUAUGAUGAUGUAUUUAAUCUGUAGAUCUUUUGGAGAGAUGUAAGGAUGGGGGAAAAGCCAGAAACCAUGAUGCACUCCUUUGCUAGUUUUCCUCCCAUUCCUUGGAAUAAGCAAUGUGAAAAAUUAGAUACUAACCGUACAACUCUGCACUGUUACCCAUAACUCAUUCUUACAGGGUUUGAUGGGACGUUCUCCCAGGUAGGUAUGCAUAUGAUUUAUUAUUUUAUUUUAUUUUUAUGUAUGUAUUUGUUUACUUAUAAAACGUAUAUCCUGCACUUCAUCACAAUUAAUCUCAGAGUGGGUCACAAAGUGUUUUUUUUAAAAAAUAUAAUAGCCAAUAAAGUCAAAAUACAAAAGUACAAUGUAAAAAUAUUAGUCACUAAUACAUACAUUAAAUAUAAUACAAAUAGCAUGGCCAUGUUGCCCAAUGUCCAGUAUGCCCAUACACCAUCAGCUCAUGAGGCCUAGUAGAAGAGGAUGCUAUUUAGCUGGUGCUGAUUGAUGGACAAUGAAGGUGCCCAUCAAAGCUGAUCAAAGAGUAUGUUCCACAGCUGAGAUGCUAUUGCUGACAAGGCCCUCUGGCAAAUUAUAAAUUUCUUGUUUUCAGCCAACAAAACAGCCUCAAGACCUGAGGUCUCCACAGCUGACCUUAAAUAUUUCUUCUGGCCUAUUGUUUCACAGAGGUUUGGGGGUCACAGAAACAUAAGACACAGCCCUAGUUUCUCUCUCUCUUUCAAUUAAUUUACAAUCACUUACCGGUAUAUUUAAUCUUAACCACCUUUCUACUGCCCAUUAACUUAGUUAGGAAGAAAUGACAAAAUGGCAAAUUAUUCUCAAUACUGAAAAUUGUAUUGUUGGCAAUAUCAAAACAUUAGAAAGUAGAUGGAUGGGUUUUUUCCCCCGUAAAAGAAUUAAAAACUACCGACUUUCUGGAUUUGUUACAAAUAGUAUAGCCUGUUUGAAAGAUCAACACCAGCAAAAAUUGAAUUGCCAUAAUAGUUCUUUAAUAGCCACAUUUGAGCAUUUGGUAACACAUUGCUUUCCUCUGGAACAGCAACCUUAAAUGCUGUAAUUUAUUAUAACUUAGCCACAGUGAUAUUUUUGCUAACCUUUCCAAGUAUCCAAGAGUUCAAGGAACAGCAGUGCUGGAUGCUGUCCUAUCCUGCCCGAUACAUGUUAUUACAGCUCAGUCCGCCAAAGCUUUCUGUGAAAAUUGUAGCUGGACCAUGUAAGUGAUUUGUAAGGUUCUGAAAUCCCCCAGUAUAUUACUACAUAAACUUUAAUGGUAAAUGAAAUGCCUAGAUAAUAGGAGCCAUGAUAAAAUGGUAUGUAAUCUGUUAAUACAAAGGAAUUAGGAGUCACAGGGAAAAAUACAGCUACAUGUUUGCCAGAAGUAGCUUAUCAGAAUUGAAGAUUAAAGUUGAAAUCCCUGUGGUGCAGCUUAUGGUGUGAAAAUCCUAUUUUUGCUUUACAAAUCAUGCCUCUCAGUCAAAUAUUAUCCAUGCAUUCAAGAAACGAAUCCGGUGCCCAGUACAAGCGCAGGACUUUUCAGCACUGAUUUCAGGAAAGCCGCUAUUUUCCAUCUGUUGGUAACCCUUCAGCAGACAAUUUGAAUAAGACUCUAUGCUCCAUGGAAGCUGCCCUGAGAAUGGGGGAAAAAAGAAAGAAAGAAAAAACAGAAGGAGAAGAGAAAGACUAAUUGCCAAAGCCAGUUCAGUAAAUGUAAAAGAUACUUGGCUGUACAUGACAUGGUUUUGCCAACACCGUGCUCUGAAAUAUUUGAAAGACUAUUUCUUACUCACAGAUCCUCUUGUGUGUUAAGAUAACAGUGGUGGCAUUUCAGCAGGGUGGCAGUUUGGGAGAGGAAAUUCUCUGCGGCAGCUCCUAAACUGUGGAAUCCCCUCCUUGCAGAGGGGUGUGUCUUGCUCCUUUCUUCUAUAGCUUUUGGUAACCUCUUUGACAGCUUAGUUAUGUUGUGGUUUUCAGGAUGCACCCUAUUCUUCCUACUGUAGAUAAUUUUAGCUAAUUUUACUAUUUAGUAUUCUAUUGUAAAAAAAUAAAGCUAAAGGACCCCUGAACAGCUAAGUACACUCAAAAGCAACUAUGGGGUGCAACGCUCAUCUCGCUUCAGACACAGAGCCAGUGUUUGUCCACAGACUGCUUUCCAGGUCAUGUGGCCAGCAUGAUUCAACUGAUACUGGUGCACGGAGGACCGUGGCACCAUUUACCUUCCUGCCGCAGUGGUACCUAUUUAUCUACUUGCACUGCCAUGCUUUCAAACUGCUAGGUCAGCAGGAGCUGGGACAGAGCAAUGGGAGCUCACCCCAUUGUGGGGAUUCAAACCGCCGACCUUCUGAUCAGCAAGCCCAAGAGCCUCAGUGGUUUAGACCACAGCUCCACCCGUGUCCCGAAUAAGCAAGCACACAAGCACACAAUCACUGAUAGGUCCA
rnacentral:lncRNA from 1 species